rnacentral:rRNA from 1 species
AUACAGAGGGUGCGAGCGUUAAUCGGAAUUACUGGGCGUAAAGCGCGCGUAGGCGGUUUGUUAAGUCGGAUGUGAAAGCCCCGGGCUCAACCUGGGAACUGCAUUUGAAACUGGCAGUCUAGAGUAUGGUAGAGGGUAGUGGAAUUCUCGGUGUAGCGGUGAAAUGCGUAGAUAUCGGGAGGAACACCAGUGGCGAAGGCGACUACCUGGCCCAAUACUGACACUGAGGCGCGAAAGCGUGGGUAGCGAACAGGAUUAGAUACCCCAGUAGUCC